rnacentral:rRNA from 1 species
UACGUAGGUGGCGAGCGUUGUCCGGAAUCACUGGGCGUAAAGGGCGCGUAGGCGGUCAAUUAAGUCAGGUGUGUAAACUGUCGGCUUAACCGGGAGAUUGCACCUGAUACUGGUUGACUUGAGUGCAGGAGAGGGCAGUGGAAUUCCUAGUGUAGCGGUGAAAUGCGUAGAUAUUAGGAGGAACACCAGUGGCGAAGGCGGCUGCCUGGACUGUAACUGACGCUGAGGCGCGAAAGCGUGGGGAGCAAACAGG